rnacentral:rRNA from 1 species
GCAAGUCGAGCGGAUGAGUGGAGCUUGCUCCAUGAUUCAGCGGCGGACGGGUGAGUAAUGCCUAGGAAUCUGCCUGGUAGUGGGGGACAACGUUUCGAAAGGAACGCUAAUACCGCAUACGUCCUACGGGAGAAAGUGGGGGAUCUUCGGACCUCACGCUAUCAGAUGAGCCUAGGUCGGAUUAGCUAGUUGGCGAGGUAAGAGCUCACCAAGGCGACGAUCUUUAGCUGUUCUGAGAGGAUGAUC